rnacentral:rRNA from 1 species
AACGAACGCUGGCGGCAUGCCUAACACAUGCAAGUCGAACGAGACCUUCGGGUCUAGUGGUGCACGGGUGCGUAACGCGUGGGAACCUGCCCUUAGGUUCGGAAUAACUCCCCGAAAGGGGUGCUAAUACCGGAUAAUGUCUUCGGACCAAAGAUUUAUCGCCUUUGGAUGGGCCCGCGUUGGAUUAGCUAGUAGGUAGGGUAAAAGCCUACCAAGGCGACGAUCCAUAGCUGGUCUGAGAGGAUGAUCAGCCACACUGGGACUGAGACACGGCCCAGACUCCUACGGGAGGCAGCAGUGGGGAAUAUUGGACAAUGGGCGAAAGCCUGAUCCAGCAAUGCCGCGUGAGUGAUGAAGGCCUUAGGGUUGUAAAGCUCUUUUACCCGGGAUGAUAAUGACAGUACCGGGAGAAUAAGCUCCGGCUAACUCCGUG